UGAAACCAAGAGCAAAGAUGGAGGCGCCUGAGAGUUAGAGCUGAAGAAUUUCGAGAGCAAAAUCGAGAAGAGAUUGAAGGGGUUUCGGUAGAUUCAUGAAACUGAGAAGAUGAAAAUGAUGAUUUAGUCAGAAAUUGAUCGAGAUGAUGAUGCUGUAACUGUUGAUUGAAGCACUGAUGGGGUUUAAAUUAGGCUUUGUAUAAGCUGUGAACAAAAUGGAUUUGAUGGCAGGAAUCUGUGAAGUGAUGAGAACAAUUUGGGCUGAGUGUGGUUGAGAAGUUCAGAAGACAGAUCCAGUGAAGAAUAGAAGAAGAGUUUGCUGUUGAGAAUCAGAGAAAAGAGUUCAGAACGGAUCUGGGGUUUUAAUUAAACAUGAGUUCUACCAAGAAUCAAGAAAUAGAAACUGAAAUUCAAGGCAAGGAUGAGCUCAGGGGAAAUUGGUUAUGCGGAGAUAUGUUGAUAAGAUUAGGGUUCACAAGGUGAGCAGAUGGAAGAAUGGGGUGUUGUCUGUUUAUGAAGCUGUUGUCUGAGAGAAGAAUAUGAAGUUGGGUUUGCUCUUGAAAUUGGCAGUUGGGGUUUGCUUCAAAUUUGGUGUCUCAUCCAAGAUUACCAGAAGAGAGAAAUAAGCUGAUGUUGUGUCUGGAAUGGAGAGAGGGUUGUAAUGUUGCAGGAGAAGAGAAUGGAGCAGUUGUUGUUGCAAGGGAGUAGAGAUGACAUUGCAGCUGAAUGACUGAACUGAGGCUAGAAGCGGAGUUGCAAGGUUUUGAAGAUGCAGAAGCUGAGCAGCUGGAGUUGUGGGUAUAGGCUGCAGUUGAGUAUUGCAGGUGGUAUGAGGAUGGAAUUGAGCAUGUGAAUGACUGAGUAGUGAGUACAGAUUGGUGGUGGUUCUGAUGUAGAAUUGAUAAUGUCUGGUGGUGCAGAUAAGCAGAUUUAUUAGAUGUAUGUUUUAGGUUGAAAGGCAUUGCAGGUGGCCUAAAGGUUAUGAGUUACAUGAUAUGUUGCUGCUGUUGAAACUGAAAAUGAACCUGGCGAUGUUGUGUUGCUGACCUAAGCUGGAGCGGUUCACUAAUGAAGCUGUAUGGGAUUGCGACGAGAGCAAGAAGAUGGAGAAGACAAAAUCUUUGAUGCAGUAUGGAUGAAUGCUUAGGUUACAGGGUUGCUAUGACUCAGGCUGAGAGAUUGUAGGCAGUGAAAUCUGAGUUGCAGUUGUCGACAUUAGAGCUCGAGUUGUGUGUGUUGAGCUGAUUGCAGUGCAAGUGGCAUUUGAGUACUGGUGGUGUAUCUGCAGUUGAGGCAGUUUCUGCAAUUGAAGAUUGUGAAGCUCUGAGUACAAGCUGAAGCAGGUGGUGGAUGAAUAAAUGUGGUGUAGGUGCAAGUGCAGAUGGUGGAAUUGUUGGUGAUGUUAUUGCAGUGUCAUUGCAAUGGAGUCUAGAUUUAGUGUGAUCUGGUAUUGCGGGUAGUAUUGGUGUAGCUGAACAGAAAUGGCAAUGAGUCGCAGGCUGAGUGUUGCUGCCAUGGAGUAGAAAGUAUUGAACUGCAAUGGACUAAGACAGAGGUGACUUCGUGUGAGAAAUGGUUAUUUGCAGAAAUUGAAAGAGAGAAGCUACAACUGGUAGAGAUUUAUGGUAAUGGUUGCUGCCAAGGGACUGAUGAUGCAGUUGUGUUGGUAUUGCUCGUAAUUGAGAGACUGAGACAGGGAAGAAGAAAUGAAGAUUGUUGUGUAGAGCUGAAGCUGCAAAUGGUUAAGUCAUGCAUUUUUUAUGAAACUGGUGGUCCAUCAUUGCUACUAAGGGUCAUCAUGGCGCAACACAACUCAGGCAGUGCAAAUGGCUUUGGCCAAGACCACUCAGCUCAGUCAGGCUUGUUAGACUCUGACUCAGGUAUGACUAGACCACCUGACUCAUAUGACCCGGUUUGACUCAGUGACUUUGACUGAGUUGACUGACCCGCAACCAGGAUGGACUUUGCCGGUCACCUGAAAUACUUUAUCCGGCCAAGUUCCGACCACUUUACCAGUUUUCCGGCGACUACUUUUGGAGCAUAUUUUCUACGUGGGUAUUUCUCACAUAUGGGUUUGGUGGACAUCUUUGUAUUGGACUUUGGAGAUUGGACCUAAUUUUAGAAGUUGGAGAAAAGCUACAAAAGGAAAGUUUUCUAAAACUUUGGGGAUAUCACGUAUUUUCUAUUUGGAGCUUUGGAUAGAAAAGAGGAGAUGGAAAUAGAAAAAUGUAGAUGGUUUUGAUGUUAACCAAAUGAUCGAUGUUUCACAUAUCUGUCUGAAGGCCACUGCCAGAAUGAACCUAUCCUAAUGGACUGCGAUAGCGGUCUGACUAAUAUCAACACACUGGCAUAUACAAGGGUACCAGUGGUCGAUAACCUAACUCUAGGUCAACACAACUGGCAUAUACAAGGGUACCAGUGGUCGACUUUAUUGAAUUUAUUCCUUUUGGUCAAA